rnacentral:rRNA from 1 species
UAUCUCUGUAGAGUCUGCAUAUCAAUAAGCGGAGGAAAAGAAACUAACUAGGAUUCCCCUAGUAACGGCGAGUGAAGCGGGAAGAGCUCAAAUUUGAAAUCUUAAAGGGUUUACCCUUGACGAAUUGUAGUUUAAAGAAGUGUUUUCUGUUGAGUGUUUUGGUAAAAGUUCUUUGGAAUAGGACAUCAUAGAGGGUGAGAAUCCCGUACUUUGACCAUUACUUUCCAGCUUUGUGAUACACUUUCAAAGAGUCGGAUUGUUUGGGAAUGCAGUCCAAAAUGGGUGGUAAAUUUCAUCUAAAGCUAAAUAUUGGCGAGAGACCGAUAGCGAACAAGUACCGUGAGGGAAAGAUGAAAAGAACUUUGAAAAGAGAGUUAAACAGUACGUGAAAUUGUCAAAAGGGAAGCGUUUGACACCAGUGUUGUUUUUCUGAAAAUCAAUUAAAGAACUGUUUAUGCUAAGUUGUUUAGACUUUAUCAGCUAACUGUUUAGUUUUGAGCUUUUCUUUAAUGCACUUUUCAGUUAACAAGUCAACAUCAAUUUCUUUUGCUGUAAAAAAGCUUGAGGAAGGUGGCUUGAGAUUCGUCUUAAGUGUUUAUAGCCUCUUGCCUAUGCAGUCGGAGAGAUUGAGGUCUGCAGCGUAGAUCCUUCGGGGCUAAAUGCAUUUGUGCUAAGUUAUAGCCUUUCAUAGACAACUUGUUGACUAUGACCAGUCAUGUAGCUUACUCGCUUAUGCUAUUUUACCUACGCUUAGGAUGUUGACGAUCAGCUGAGCGCG